rnacentral:rRNA from 1 species
CUACUUUCAUAGUUUCCUUACUUACUCGGUGAGGCGGAAGGCGUCCGUCGGAGUGUCUGCACUCCGACGCGACGGUAUUCUCGCACCAAGCGCCAAGGGUUGUCGGCGGCCGGUCGGUCGUGGGGAGGCCCGCGGUUGUCCGCUUCGGCGGCUCUGCCGUGCGUGUCGUCACCGCGCUCUUGGUCGCGCCGUCCGGCAACACACUCCCUAGCGUG